GGAAGUAAGAGUCGUAACAAGGUUUCCGUAGGUGAACCUGCGGAAGGAUCAUUAACGAGCUAGGGUCUUCCAGGCCCGACCUCCCAACCCUAUGUUUAUUGAACCUCUGUUGCUUCGGCGGGCCCGUCUCACGGCCGCCGGGGGAGUCGCCGCGAGGCACCCUCUGGCCAGCGUCCGCCGAUGGCCAACCUCAAAACUCUGAAUGAAUCGUGUCAUGAUGUCUAAGUCUAUGAUUAAAUUAAAGCAAAACUUUCAACAACGGAUCUCUUGGUUCUG
rnacentral:misc_RNA from 1 species